rnacentral:rRNA from 1 species
AGGGAACGCUGGCGGUAGGCCUAACACAUGCAAGUCGAACGGCAGCACAGUAAGAGCUUGCUCUUACGGGUGGCGAGUGGCGGACGGGGGAGGAAUACAUCGGAAUCUACUUUUUCGUGGGGGAUAACGUAGGGAAACUUACGCUAAUACCGCAUACGACCUACGGGUGAAAGCAGGGGAUCUUCGGACCUUGCGCGAUUGAAUGAGCCGAUGUCGGAUUAGCUAGUUGGCGGGGUAGAGGCCCACCAAGGCGACGAUCCGUAGCUGGUCUGAGAGGAUGAUCAGCCACACUGGAACUGAGCCACGGUCCAGACUCCUACGGGAGGCAGCAGUGGGGAAUAUUGGACAAUGGGCGCAAGCCUGAUCCAGCCAUACCGCGUGGGUGAAGAAGGCCUUCGGGUUGUAAAGCCCUUUUGUUGGGAAAGAAAAGCAGCAGGUUAAUACCCCGCUGUUCUGACGGUACCCACAGAAUAAGCACCGGCUAACUUCGUG